rnacentral:misc_RNA from 1 species
GUUUAGGUCCAGCCAGCGCGUACCCGUGGAGGCUUCCUCUCCAGCGCGGAGCACUCCUUAGUCGGCUGCCCUCCUCUCCUCCGCCGCCACAGCAGUCAGCAGACAUCAGCAGACCGCCGGCCGACCGCCCCACAGGUAUGCCGCUGCCCUCCACUGACCUCGGCUCCCCCUACUCCCUCCUCCCACAGGCGGACAGGCCCACAGCAGACCGCUGCGCGCCUGCGCCACCGCCGGCCGACCGGCGACCGCAAGACCAGCAGCCAGCGCCCUCCUCCUCCCUCCGCAAGACCAGCAGCCAGCGCCCAAGAUCAUAGUACCAGCCAGCGCCCAUUGUUUUAGGCCCUAUUUGUUGAUUUUGCUUAUAGUGAAUCAAUCUCUAUUUGCUCACAGUAAAUUUCAAUGGCAACAAAUAGUGAGGCAUUGUGUGGUUGAACUUGUGUUGUUGAACUUGAUCUGUUUCUUUUUGUGCUAUUUGGUUUGUGAACUCAAGUACUCAACUUAUGUAUGAAC